UCAGAAGGUAUACAAGAGACUGCCUCGACGACGUGGGUUUCAAACUGAGUAACUCAUUGUUGGGUCUGGAUCUGUAAAAAGGUUUUGUCACUGAUGGGCAAUAUGGAGAGAAUGUAAAAAUACCUAACUUCAAACUGAAAAAAAGAAACAACUGGAAUGAAAACCUAUAAACAAUAGUUCAGAAGAUUGACAUAGAGGAUUUACCUACAGAACUUCAGGAUACUCCUAAGAAGCCCUUAAAUGAUCGUCUCAUCAAUAUUAUCAGGCCUUAUCAUUGUUUCACAUUUGCUAUUAUCAUGGGGAAUAUAAUAAUUAUUUACUGGUUAACUUCCUAGGGAAGAUUGCCUGCGGCUUAUUUAAGAUCCAAAUUUUAAAGUAAUAAUUUCUGUUGAAGCUGCUUGGGAGGUGGUUGGGUGGGCGGAUAGAGUGAAGCCAGGGACACACAGUAAAUGAGCUCAGGAUGUAGGCAGGUUUUGAUGUUUUACUUGCUUUUAUCCCUAAUGUUUUAUCCCUUCACGUUUGCUGUCUCACUGAACAUUUUGUCUAUUCUUCUAGUUAUGCAGUGAGCAGGUCUCCUGGAGAAAGAAGCCUCUUUUUAUGAGGAUUGGGGUGGUGACAGAUAUUAAUCAAAUGGUCUGAUUUCUCUGCUAUCCUUUCCUUUCCCCCAAAUGUUCUCAGGGGACCUGCUUGAAUGUUUUUCAAGAGAUCUGUAUUUUGACUUUUAGUAGCCUAUAGAUUAUCACUCAAUAAAACAAAUUGUUUUUAAGUGAAUUGCCAAAAAUCAUUUUAAAAAGGAAACUCUAUGAUUAUGGUUUCUGCUAGAAAGAAUUCUGACGGCUCAUAAAAGCAAUAUGUAUAAUUUUUCAUUUUUUAGAAGAAAAUAAAUACUUUCAUGUAAUGACUUGA